AUCUGGGAGGCCACAAACCAUGGAAGCUGUACGCAUGGCGUAGUGGACUAGCGGUUAGAGGAGACCCCUCCCUUGCAAGUCGCAGCAACAAUGGGGGCCCAAGGUGAGAUGAAGCUGUAAUCCCACUGGAAGGACUAGAGGUUAGAGGAGACCCCCCCGAAAUAAAAAACAGCAUAUUGACGCUGGGAAAGACCAGAGAUCCUGCUGUCUCCUCAGCAU
rnacentral:lncRNA from 1 species